AUAGCCUACCAAGGCAAUGAUCUAUAGCUGAUCUGAGAGGAUGAUCAGCCACACUGGAACUGAGAUACGGUCCAGACUCCUACGGGAGGCAGCAGUGGGGAAUAUUGGACAAUGGGCGAAAGCCUGAUCCAGCCAUGCCGCAUGAGUGAAGAAGGCCUUUGGGUUGUAAAGCUCUUUUAGUGAGGAAGAUAAUGACGGUACUCACAGAAGAAGUCCUGGCUAACUCCGUGCCAGCAGCCGCGGUAAUACGGAGAGGGCUAGCGUUAUUCGGAAUUAUUGGGCGUAAAGGGCGCGUAGGCGGAUUAGUAAGUUAAAAGUGAAAUCCCAAGGCUCAACCUUGGAAUUGCUUUUAAAACUGCUAAUCUAGAGAUUGAAAGAGGAUAGAGGAAUUCCUAGUGUAGAGGUGAAAUUCGUAAAUAUUAGGAGGAACACCAGUGGCGAAGGCGUCUAUCUGGUUCAAAUCUGACGCUGAGGCGCGAAGGCGUGGGGAGCAAACAGGAUUAGAUACCCUGGUAGUCCACGCUGUAAACGAUGAAUGUUAAAUAUGGGAAGUUU
rnacentral:rRNA from 1 species